rnacentral:rRNA from 1 species
CGUCUUGAAACACGGACCAAGGAGUCUAGCGUGUGCGCGAGUCAUUGGGUGAAAAACCUAAAGGCGCAAUGAAAGUGUCAGAGCGCGCUCCGCGCGCUCGGCGGGAGGAUGGGCUUCCCGGCACCAAGCCGGAGCCCCGCACUCCCGGGGCGUCACAUUCUCGUCCCGAGUCGAGACGCACCAGGAGCGCACACGCUGUUACCCGAAAGAUGGUGAACUAUGCUUGGCCAGGACGAAGCCAGGGGAAACCCUGGUGGAGGUCCGAAGCGAUUCUGACGUGCAAAUCGAUCGUCUGAGCUGAGUAUAGGGGCGAAAGACCAAUCGAACCAUCUAGUAGCUGGUUCCCUCUGAAGUUUCCCUCAGG